CGGCGGACGGGUGAAGUAACACGUGGAUAACCUACCUAUAAGACGUGGGAAUUAACGUUCGGAAACCGGAGCUAAUACCGGAUAAUAUAUUGAACCGCAUGGUUCAAUAGUGAAAGACGGUUUUGCUGUCACUUAUAGAUGGAUCCGCGCCGCAUUAGCUAGUUGGUAAGGUAACGGCUUACCAAGGCAACGAUGCGUAGCCGACCUGAGAGGGUGAUCGGCCACACUGGAACUGAGACACGGUCCAGACUCCUACGGGAGGCAGCAGGG
rnacentral:rRNA from 1 species